GCACGCCCCACUGCGGGCCCCCAGCUCAGCCAUGCUGGCCUGUCUGCAGAGGACCCAGAAUCCACCGGGCCAACACCUGGCCUGCCCAAGCAAGAGCCUGGAGCUACGCAAGUAAAGCAGUCAGUGCUUACACCACAGUUCCGCCCAUCACCCGAAGUUCGCCCUCUAGCAUAUUGCUCAAGAAGGUCUCGUGGGCAAAAAGGCCACAUAAGCUGGAGAUUCCAUCAGCCUGAGACCAGAAGAACUAGAUGGUGCCCGGCUACCACCAAUGACCACCCUGACAGGGAACACAACAGAGACUCCCUGACGGAGCAGGAGAAAAGUGGGGUACAGAACUCAAAGUCACAUAAAAAGACCAGAACUUAAUGGUCUGAGACUAAAGGAACCCCAGAGGACAUGGCCCCAGGACUCUUUGUUAACCCAGAACUGUGACCACUCCCGAAGUCAACUCUUCAGACAAAGGUGCCACGGACCCCUGCUUUGCCCCUGCUGCCAGCUGGCAGGGACUAGGCCCAAUGACCUGGGCUGGCCCUUCCUUCUGCUCCAGGGUGGAACUAGGCUCUCUGCCCUGAGAGUACAGAGGGCCACCAAGGACAUCCUGCGUCCUCUGCCCACUCACAUCUUUUGACAUCCCGGCACUUAUUGGAAAAGACACUGACUCUGCCUGUAAUUGAAGAGCUCAGGAAAGAGGGAGGCAGGAAGGGAGAUAAGCAAAUUGAAUUGGGCAUCCUGCCGCCAGUCAAUGCCUGGACACCAGCCGGGGGGCCCCUGCCCUUUCCUCCUGGGCACAACUCCUGGGUGACCAGGCCCUCAGUCUCUCCUCUUGUCUCCAUGCCCCAAGGCAGGACCAAGACAGGAAGGGCUGGCCGUGAGACACAUGACCAGACCUUGGGCCACACUGCACUUCUCAUGAAGGGGGAGAGGUCCUGCUUAGGCCACGUGCAGUGUGGCGUUUCGGGUCCUGUGUCCUCUUCCUGCAAAGCAAGGGGUCAGAUCAGAUGGACCAAAGAAGCCAUCCAGCUCUGGUCCUUUGUGAUGACAGUGAGACCCCUCCCUCCUUUUUCUGACCUCAGUGUCAUCAGCUGUAAAACGGGUUCAGGGUAGCCUGACGUCCGUCAUAGGGCUGUACUGAGAACUGGCUGCAGGUCACCUCUCUGGGACCCAGGGGCAGGCCUGGUACAGCAGGUAGGGUACGGCCAGCUGUGUGUCCAGGAGUCUGGCUAGCCUGUUCCAGGCAACAAAAGGAGAAAGGACUAGGGGAGGGAGUCCACCCCCUCCCCACCUCAGAUCUCAGGCUGUUCUCAUCUGGCCAGAGCCCCGAAUCCCACACAGGACCUGCCCACCCUGGGACAGAAGCCUGUUUAUCUCAGCUGCUCAGGACCUUCCUCCCUAAUAAAUAUUUGACUUUCUCAGCAUGGUGUUGAUAUACAAACUUUGAGUCACGCGCUGCUAAAAAUACAGGCCUGCAGAGAGCCCCAGAGAGGCGCCGUGGGGGCCUGCCACCCUGCAGGACCCUUUGUAAGUGAGCCUGCUUUCCCCCUAUGAGCCCCCAGGGUGCCGGCUUUGGGGCUAAAGUGGAUCUAGGGGGGGAAACCCUGGCUGUGCCCUGAGUGGGUGUGGGUGUGUGUGUGGUCUUGGGCAAGUAAGUGACCGCCCCUCUUGGGGCCUCAGUUUCCUUCCCUGUGACAUGGAGAUAAGGCAAGGAGAGAACCCCUCAGGGCCUGCCAGCUGACUCAAACACUCCACCUGCCCCCACACCCAAGGACACCAGAGGCUCCCUGCCUGUCUCUCUCAUUUUGCUGAGCUGCACCUUUCAAGGGCUCGGCCUAUCACCUACCCCGGAAGAUCAGGGUCAGCUCUUCUCCCCGCCCCCACCCAGCAGGACCCCAGACCCUGAAAGCCUGGAGCCACUGGCCAGCAAGCCACAGACAGACAGCCGGCAGCCCCUGAGAGCACUCCUGCAGGUGCCACCUCGGCUGACACUAAUAAAAUACAGAAGAAACAAAGCAACUGAAAAUUCCAAUACAAUUCAAAACAAAUCUCAGGCCGUGGAGCAGAUUCAAUUAUACAGCUGUUGUUCACCGCAGCCUGCAGGAGGGAAGGUCAGCUGCCUCCCCUGCUGCCGGUCCCCGGGUCCCCGGGGAGAGGACAGAGGCAGGCUCCUAGAUAAAGUGGUGGGGAGAGGGCCAGACAGGUUUAGCCCCCUUUAACGAUUUAAAGACCAAAAAUAAGCUCUUAGCAAACCAGGAACUGAGGCAACUUCCUUAAUCUAUUACAGACCAUCCAAUCACAAUCCACAACAAAGAAGCCCAAUGGUUGCAAAAAUCAGAGGAAGACAAAGAUCCAAAUUACUGCUUCUUUUCCACACUGUACAGAGGGUGUAGCUAGCAUAGUGAGAUGGGAAAAUUAAAAGUAUAAGGACUGGAAAGGAAUAAAACUGCAUGGAAAACCCAAGAGGAUGCGCAGCAAAUUAUUAGGAUAAGAGUUCAGCAAGAUGGGGGGUGUAAGAUCAUAUAUUUCAUAGUAGCUUUUGCUGGUGUUAUUAGCUGCCACCAGUCCACCACCGAAUCACGGUGACUCCAUGUACAGUGGAGUGAAACGCUGCCCGGUCCUGUGCCAUCCCCAUGAUCAGUUGUGGAUCGGACUGUUGUGAUCCAGAUGGUUUUCACUGGCUGAUUUUCAGAAGCAGAUCACCAGGCCUUUCUUCCUUGUCCAUCUUAGUCUGGAAGUUCCGCUGAAACCUGUUCAGCAUCAUAGCAACACACAGGCCUUGGCCACGAAGCAAACUUGGGUCUCCUGUAUGGAAGGCGAGAAUUCUACCACGGAACCACCACUGCCCCCUGGUAACAGCUUUAUUGAGGCAUAAUUCACAUGCCAUAGAAUUCACCCAUUUCAAGUGUAUAAUUCAAUGGUUUUAGUAUAUUCACAGAGUUGUACAAUCAUCACAGUCAAUUUUAGGAUCAUUUCAUCACCCCCAAAAGGAAGCCUGUACUUUUUUGGCUGUAAUUUUUUUAUUUUUUUGAAACCCUGGUGGCGUAGUAGAUAAGUGCUGCGGCUGCUAACCAAAGGGUCGGCAGUUCGAAUCCUCCAGGCGCUCCUUGAAAACUCUAUGGCGCAGUUCUACUCUGUCCUAUAGGAUCGCUAUGAGUCGGAAUUGACUCGACAGCACUAGGUUUGGUUUGGUUUUGGCUAGAUGAACGUUUACAGAACAAACUAGCUUCUCAUUAAACAGUUAGUACACAUAUUGUUUUGUGACACUGGCUGCCAACUCCACAUGUCAACACUCCCCCUUCUCAACCUUCGGUUCCCUGUUACCAGCUCUCCUGUCUCCUUUUGCCUUCUAGUCCUUGCCCCUGGGCUGGUGUGCCCCUUUAGUCUCGUUUUAUUUUAUGGGCCUGUCUAAUCUUUGGCUGAAGGGUAAACCACAGGAGUAACUUUAUUACUGAGCUAAAAAGGUGUCCGGGGGCCAUACUCCUGGGGUUUCUCUAGUUUGUGUCAGACCAAUAAGUCUGGUCUUUUUUUGUGUGUAAGAAUUUUGUUUUAUAUUUUUCUCCAGCACUGUCCGGGACCCUCUAUUGUGAUCCCUGUCAGAGCAGUCGGUGGUGAUAGCCAGGCAUCACGUAGUUGUUCUGGACUCAGUUUGGUGGAGGCUGUGGUAGUUGUGGUCCAUUAGUCCUUUGGACUGACCUUUCCAUGUCUUUGAUUUUCUUCAUUCUCCCUUGCUCCCAAAGGGGUGAGAACAGUGGAGUAUUCUAGAUGGCUGUUUACAGGGAAAGCCUGUACUCUUUAGCCAUCACCUCCCCAAUUCCCCAUCCCCACCAACCCUAAACAACCACUGAUCUACUUUCUGCCCCUAUAGAUUUGCCUGUUCUGGACAUUUCAUAUAAAUGGAAUUGUACAUACAGUAUGUGGUCUUUUGUGACUUGUUUCUUUCACUUAGCAUAAUAUUUUUCUUCCUAGUAUUUUCAAGGUUCAUGCAUGCUGUAGCGUAUAUCAGUACUUCAUCCCUUUAUAUUGCUGAAUAAUAAUCCAUUGUAUGGAAAUAGCAUGUUUUAAUCAUUUGUCAGUGGCUCAUUCAAAAGUGGUUAGUUCUACUUUUUUGACCACUGUGAAUAAUACUGCUAUGAAUAUUUGUAUACAAGUUUUUUUGUGGACAUGUUUUAAUUUCUCUUGGUUAUAUAUAUAGGGGAAUAAUCACUGGAUCAUGGUAACUUCAUGUUUAACUUCUUGAGGAACUGCCAAGCUUUUCCAAAGAGGCUGCACCAUUUUACAUUCCCACUAGCAGGGGAUGAGGGUUCUAAUUUCUCCACAUACUUGCCACCAUUUGUUAUUAUCUAUUUGAUUAUGGCUUGGAAAACUUGGUGGUGUAGUGGUUAAGAGUUUGGCUGCUAACCAAAAAGUCACCAGUUCAAAUCAACCAGGCACUCCUUGGAAACCCUGUGGGGCAGUUCUACCCUGCCCUAUAGGGUCACUAUGAGUCAUAAUCGACUGGAUGGCAACGGGUUGUUUUGUUCUUUAUCCUAGUGGCCCUUGGGUGGCGAAAGUGGUUUGCACUCAGCUAUUAACCCAAAGGCUGUAUUGAGGAAGAAAGGCCUGCCAAUCCAUUCCAUAAAGAUUACAGCCGAGAAAACCCUAUGGAGCAGUUUUACUCAUGGGGUCACUAUGAGCCGGAAUCGACUUGAUGAUAAUGGAUUUAGUGGGUAUAAAGUGGUAUUGCAUUAUAGUCUUGAUUUGCAUUUUCCCUAAUGACUAAUGAUACUGAACAUCUUUCCAUGUGCUUACUGGCCAUUUGUGGUAAUUCUGUUAUAGCAGCACUAGAUAAUUAAGACAGCACCCUUGUCAAAAAUCAGUUGGGCAUAGAUGCAUGGGCUUAUUUCUGGAUUCUCAGUUCUGUCUCAUUGAUUUCUAUGUCUAUCCUCAGGCCAGUACUACAGCUAAGUUUUGUAAUUGGAAAGUGCAAGCCUUCCAACUCUGUCCUUUUUUAAGAUUAUAUUGGCUGGGUCCAUGAAUUUCAGAAUCAGUUAGUCAAUUUUUGCAAAGAAGCCAUCUGGAAUUUUAAUGAUAGAUUGUGUUGAAUCUGUAGCUCAGCAUUAAAGACUUACUAUUAAGUCUUUUGAUCCAUGAACAUGUAAUAAUUGUAAUAGUUUUUUUAGUGGCUUUCUUAGGAUUUUCUAUGGAAAAGAUUAAAAGAUACUUCUUCCUUUCCAGUAUGAUUUUUUUUUUUUCUUGUCUAAUUGCCCUGGCUAGAACCUUUGGUACAUGUCAAACAGAAGUGGCAAGAUCAGGCAUCUUUAUCUCGUUCCUGAUCUUACUAAAAAGAAAUUAAAGAAGACCUAAAUAAAUGGGAGGAUAUCCCAUGUUCAUGGAUUGAAGACUUAAUAUAGUUGUCAGUACUACCUAAAGCAAUCUAUAAAUUCAAUGCAAUCACCAUCAAAAUUCCAACAGCCUUCUUUGCAGAAAUAGAAAAGCCAAUCCUCAAUUUUAUAUAGAAGGGCAGGGGACCCUGAUAGCUAAACCAAAUCUGAAGAAGAAUAAAAGUAGGACUCACACUUCUGGUUUCAAAACACACUACAAAGCUACAGUAAUUAAAACAGCCUGGAACUGGUACAGUAUUAGACAUAUAGACCAAUUGAAUAGAAUUGUCAGUCCAGAAAUAAAUCCACACAUCUACGAUCAACUGAUUUUUGACAAGGUGCUAAGACCAUUCAAUGGGGGAAGAGUCUCUUCAGUAAAUGGUGCUGGGAAAAUUGAAUUUCCACAUGCAAAAGAAUGAAACAGGAUCCAUGCCUCAUACCAUACACAAAAACCAGUUCAAAAUGGAUCAAGGACCUAAAUGUGGAAACAAAAACUAUAGAAUUCUUAGAAGAAAUUAUAGGAGUGUGGCUGUAGGCCUAGUUUUUUAACAGUGGAUUAUCAGGUGUCUCAGUCAUCUAGUGCUGCUGUAACAGAAAUACUACAAUGGAUGGCUUUAACAAAGAGAAAUGUAUUCUCUUACAGUCUAGUAGGCUACAAGUUCAAAUUCAGGACAUCAGCUCCAGGUGAAAGUUUUCUUUCUCUGUCAGCUCUGGAGAAAGGUCCUUGUCCUCAAUCUUCCCCUGGUCAGAGCCUCUCAUGCACAGGGACCUCAGGUCCAAACGACACGCUGUGUUCCUGGUGUUGCUUUCUUGGCGGUAUGGCAUCCCCUUGUCUCCCUGCUCGCUUCUCUCUUUUAUAUCUCAAAAAAAUUGGCUUAAGACACUAUCUAAUCUUGUAGAUCUCAUCAGUAUAACUGCCACUAAUCCAUCUCAUUAACAUCAUAGUGAUUGAAUUUACAACACAUGGGGAAAUCACAUCAGAAGACAAAAUGGUAGACAAUCACACAAUACUGGGAAUCAUGGCCUAGCCAAGUUGCCAGAUAUUUUGGGGGGACACAGUUCAAUCCAUGCCAUCAGGUUUGACGACAACAAGCGCAAGCAGCAAAAGUCAAAAUAGAUAAAUGGUACCACAUAAAAGUUAAAACCAAAGUUCAUCAAAGACAUUAGCAAAAAAUUAAAAAGACAAUCCACAGAUUGGGAGAAAAUUUGGGGGAACCAUAUAUCUGAUGAGGGUCUAAUCUAAAAUAUAUUUUAAAAACUUGUACAACAACGAAAAGACAAAUAACCCAAUCAAAAAAUGGGCAAAGGACUUGGACAGUUCACCAAGGAGAAUAUUCAAAUAGCCAACAAGCACAUGAAAAGAUUAUUUAGCCGUUAAUAACCAAACCAAACCCAAUGCCAUCAAUACUGACUCAUAGCAACCCUAUAGGACAGAGUAGAACUGCCCCAUAGAGUUUCUAAGGAGCGGCUGGUGGAUUUGAACUACUGACCUUUUGGUUAGCAGCCAAACUCUUAACCACUGCGCCCCCAGAGUUCCUAGAACCACCAUGUGAACCGGCAAUCCCAAUGCCAGGAAUAUACCCAGAACUGAAGGCAGGAAUACAAACAGAAACCUGUACACCAGUGUUCACUGCAGCACUUUUCACAACAGCCAAGAGGUGGAAACAACCCAAAUGUCCAUCAAGAGAUGAAUGGAUAUAUUCACACAAUGGAAUACUGCUCAGCGUAAAGAAUGAAGUCUUGAUGCAUGCCACAACAUGGAUGAACCCUGAAAACAUGCUGAGCGAAAUAAGCCAUUGGCAAAAGGACAAAUACUGUAUGAUCUCACAUGAAAUAAGCAAAUAUAUAAAAGGAAGGGAGGGGAAAGGUGGAGUUUUUGCUUAGGGACGGCGAGUUUACGUUAACGGUGGUCGGAUGGUUUGGAAUAAGACAGAAUGGUUUCACAACUUGAAGAAUGCAAUCAAAGUCACUGAAUUGUACGUGUAGAAACUGUUGAGGUGGCAUGUUUCGUUAUGUAUAUUUUCACCACAAUUUUUAUUAUUGUGCUUUAGGCGGAAGUUUACAGCUCCAGUUAAUUUCUCAUACCAAAACGUAUACACAUAUUGUUAUGUGACAUUAGUUGCAAUCCCUAUAAUGUGACAGCACCUUCCCCCUUUCCACCCUGGGCUUCCUGCGUCCAUUCAGUCAGCUCCUGUCCUUUCCUGCCUUCUCAUCCUGCCUUCGGACAGGAGCCACCCAUUUGGUCUUGUGUAUCUGCUUGAACUAAGAAGCACACUCUUCACAAGUACUGCUUUAUGUUUGAUAGUCCAGUCUAAUCUUUGUCUGAAGAGUUCACCACAAUUUUUUUUUUUUAAUUUAAACUGUAGCUCACCAAGCAAUUUUGAGCAAGAACAAAGGAAGACUCACUUCCUGAUUUCAAAACAUACUACAUAGCUACAGUGGUCAAAACAGUCUGGUGCUGGUACACUAAUAGACACAUAGACGGAUGGAAUAGAAUUGAGAGUCCAGAAAUAAACCCAUACAUCUAUGGUCAACUGGUUUUAACACGGGCACUAAGUCCAUUCAGUGUGGAAAAAAGAGUCUGUUUAGUUAAUGGUGUAGAGACAACUGGGUCUCCACAUGCUGGAUCAAGCUGGACUCAUAUCUCAUACUGUACCCGGAAAUUAACUGAAAAUGGAUCAAGGACCUAGGCGAAAGAAAUAUAACCAUAAAAUUCCUAGAAGAAAACACAGGAGUAUGGCUCUGGGACCUCUUUUUAACAGUGGAUUCUUAGAUUUGACACCAGAACCACUAACAACAAAAGACCAGAUAUUUUGGACUUAAUAAAAAUUAAGAAUUUUUGUUCGCCAAAAGACUUUCACAACAAAGUAAAGAGACAGCCCACAGAACGGGAGAAUACUUUCGGGAACCAUAUAUGGGAUAAGGAUUUAAUAUACAGAAUAUACAAAGAACUCCUACAACUUAACAACAAAAAGAUAAGCAAACCAUUCAAGAACUGGGCAAAGGACUUGAACAGACAUGCACUAAAAAAGACAUACUAAUGGCUAAAAAGCACAUAAAAAGAUGCUCAGCAUCAUUAGCUAUUAAAAAAAAAAAAACCCACGGCCAUCAAUUCUGACUCAUAGUGACCCUAUAGGACAGGGUAGAACGACUGUGUGGCAUUUCCAAGGAGCAUCUGGCAGAUUUGAACUGCUGACCCUUUAGUUAGCAGCCGUAGCACUAAACCACUACGCCACCAGGGUUUCCCGUUAGCUAUUAGAGAGACACAAAUCAGAACCACAAUGACCUACCACUUCACUCCCACUAGGAUGGCUAAGAUUUAAAAAAUGGAAAACAACAAAAAUUGGCGAGGGUGUGGAGAAGCUGGAACCCUUACACAUUGCUGGUGAGAAUGGAAAAUGUUACAGCUACUGUGGAAAAGUUUGACAAUUCCUCAAAAAGUCAUAGUGCUAUUAAGUGACCCAGGAAUUCCACUCCUAGGUAUGUACCCAAGAGAGUUGAAAGCAGCAACACAAACAGAAACCUGUCCACCAGUGUUCACUGCAGCCCUAUUCACAAGAGCCAAAAGGUGUAAACAACCUAAAUGUCUAUCAACAGAUGAAUGGAUAAACAAAACGUGGUACGUACAUACGAUGGAAUAUUACUCAGCCACGAAGAGAGAUGAAGUCCUGAUACACACCACAACAAGAUGAACCUUGAAAAAAUUAUGCUGAGUGAAAUAGGUCAAUCACAAAGGGACAAAUACUAUAUGGUCUCACAUAUAUGAAAUCAUAACAGUAGGCAAAUAUAAACAGAACAAAGUUUCUUAGUGGUUAUGGGGGAAUGGGGAGCCACUAUUUAGGAAGCAGUGAAUUUCUGUUUAGGGUGAUGGGAAAUCUGGCAGCAAUUAUGGGCGAUACUUGUACAACGUUAUUAAUGCCAUUGAUAGCACUAAAAUGUACACCUGAAAACUGCUGAAUUGGCAAAUGUUGUGUAAUAUGUUUUUACAAUUAAAAAAAAAAAACUGGCUCAACAAAAUGCACCACAUACGACAAGACAAGCCACACAGAGGGUCUGCGGCACUUAGAGGGGACCUUUAUCCAGGAGAGAGAGACAUGAAUGAGGCUGCAGAAAAAUAGGUGUGGGGAUGGGCAGGGAGCCAGUGACAGGGGCAGGGUGGUGGGGGGCUCAGAGAGUGAUGGCUGGAGGCAAAGAUUGGGUUGCAGAGGGUGGAGAUAGAUGAAUGAGACCCACACGGAUGUGGACAGAGACAGACAGCAAGAAAGAGGGUAUGGCACUUUCAAAGGACAAAGAGGGCCACGGUGAGGACAGACGGACAGGCAGCAAUGCCACAAGCUCGUGAGAUGGAGACACAGACAAAGCCAAGGGCCAGGAUGGAAGAGAGAGGAGUGAGCUCCUAGAGGGAGCAACACAGGCAAGAGAAACUGAGGCAGGUUCUGAUAAGGAAUGAGUAUGAUAAGGAAUGAGUAAGGUACUCCCAGCCCCACCUACAGGGACCAUUUGGCUACUCAGGGGUCCAGCCCGGGCUGAAGGGGACUGUCUUGGGGGCUGGGGGAGGGGACUGGGAGCCAUGUAUGGCUACACACAUGUGCCUCUGCCUAAGAGCACCUGCCCAUCUGUGCGUGCAGGGUGUCCCUGAGUGUCUGGGCACAUGUAGCUCCACACGUGUGCCCCUAAGCAUGUAUGUGUGUGAGCAUGCAUAUGUGUGAAUGCACACGUGUUCAGAGAAUAAGAGAGGGUCCUUUGUGCAGUGCCUAGUACUGUACUACCCGCUAUGCUUCACUGCCUCAUCUGGCCCAGAAAGACCUGUUAGGAAGGCGGCCAGCCUUUUCUGAUCACCUACUGUGAGCCCACAAGGAGCCCUGGUGGCGCAGUGGUUAAAGCGAUUGGCUGCUAACCAAAAGACCGGCGGUUCAAAACCACCAGUGGCAGUAGGUUUGGUUUUUUUGGUUUUUUACUCUGUGAGCCCACAACAACGGGCUCACACAUACCUAGCAAUCAUGACGAUGGCACAGAAGUGGGCAAGGUUUCGUUCUGCUAUACGUUAAGGUUGCCAUGAGCCGCAACUGACUCAAGAGCACCUAACAGCAACUACGCACAAGCCCUUUGAGCUGUAUUCUCUAAUUUAACCCUCAAGCUCACCCCCAUCUUGGGGGAAACAGAGGCAGGGAGCUGGAGUCACUUGCCUGAGGUCACCCAGCUGGUAACUGGGGUACCUUGAUUCAUACUGGGUCUGACCCCAAAGCCCCUUAGGCUGCCACCCAGGUCGUGGGGGCAGGGCAAGGUCCCUGGGACAGCCCAGGAAGGGGCUGAGCAGCCUUCCCCCACCCUCCACGCCCCUUCCAUGCCAGAGAACAGCUGUGCCUGCCCUGGCCUGGCUGCCUUCCCCCACCCCCUCUUCUGGGCGGUCUCAUUAGGGAUUCUGCUGGUGCCACCAGCUAAUUAGUGUCACAUUAAUUGAGCAUUCAGGAGGCUGCCACCUCCAAGGGCAGAGUGUCGCAGCGAAGGGGAAUGCAGAUGUGGGCUGCUUCUCCCUGUGGGCUGCGGCCACGGCUGGGGCAGGACUGGCCAGGCCCCACACUCAGGACUCCAUCUGUCCCAGGAAGCCCAGACGCCCCUCCCUCCCUCAUUUCAACACAGAUAAUGCCCACAGCGACUUUCUGAGCAUUAAGGGAGGAAGGGAUGGACAGGAGUCUGUAACAGAGUGAGCAAUAAUGAUGUCCACUGAACACCUAGCGGGUGCCAGGCAUGCCUUUAGUUCUCCCACCCCUCCUAUGGGAAAGCCACAGUUAGCUCCAUUUUUACAGUUGGGAAAACCAAGACCCACUGAGGGAACAACUUCACAGGGGAGCACCCAGUCAAUCAGUAGGAGCCUGGGACUUCAGAGUGGACCUGACAACAGCUCUGGAGUCAGCAGAAUCCAGUUCCAAACCUGCAUUUGCUGGCCAUGGGACCUAGGGCAGGUGACUGGCCCUCCCUGAGCCUCAGUUUUCUUAUCUGUCAAAUGGGGCUAGUUCCAGACUCACCUCACUGGCUAGUGGGUGCUGGGGGAGAGUCUGCCUCCUGCAUUUGGCUGGGCAGUCCCUGGAGGGACUGACUUAUAUCUACAGUAGAUGCUUAGGGUCCACUGAGAACCCUGGAUCAUGGAAUCAGAAGUCUGGGCUGGUGUCCCACCCCUGCCUCCCCCACCACCAUCACCACCUCCACCCACCACUUGAAGAGCAAGUACUAUGGGCCUUACAGUGCAGAGUCUUCGCUGACUCUUCACCAACUCCACGACGCGCCUGCCCUUCAUGCCCUCUGACAGAUGAGAAACUAAGGCUCACAUUAAGUGGCUGCCCAAGGUUACCUGCAGCAUGUAGCAAAGCUGGGCGUCAAGCCCAUGUGACAUGAGUCCAGUCAGGGCCCCAGCAGCUCACCACACUGCGGUUGCCACAAUGGAGCCCCCGCCCCCCACCUUCCCUCUGCGCUCCUCAUGGCUUCCAAGAGGCGGCCGUGGCCAUCUGCUCUCCUGUCUCCCUGUAGCAACAUUAAAUCCCACUCAGAGGGCUGUUUUUAAUUGGCUUAAUAUACUCGUUAAUAACUGCGGCUAUUUAACGCACCUGUAAAAGGCCCAUAACGUUAACUUAAUGGCAGCGAUGGUGAUGCCAGCCAGCCUUUUAAAUUUCCCUACAAGGCUUUAAUAGGGGGCCUCGUGGGCUGGGGAGGGGGCAGGGGAAGGGGCGGCCCAGUACACAGGGUGGGCGCCUCGCUUCUGCCCACUGGAGCCUAGUUUCUGUCCGGUGGCCGCUCCUGCCACUGCUCAAAGCCUCUGGGCAGGGGUUUCUCUAGACUCUGCGCUGUCAUUCAUGCCUUGUUUCAUGAGCGCCUACUGUAUACCAAGUGUUAUUUUAUGCAUCAGAGUGGUGAGAAAGAUCAGGACUUGCCUCCAAAGGCAUCCAAAUUUUGCCAAGGAGGCAAGUCAACAGAUGGCUACAUCAUGGAGGGGGGUGCCGCAUAUCAGGGAAGGCUGCCUGGAGGAGGCAGCAUCUCAGCUGACACCGGAAGGGUCAGGAGAGCCCGUAGACCAGGGAGUGUGCAAGCACACCCAUACUUCACUCACCCAGCAAUAGUUCAAGCCCUGCUGUGUGCUGGGCCCUGCUGGGCACUGGAGCACGAUGGUGAGCAAACACACGGCCCUGCCCACAUGGGUCAUCCCACUCUGUCCCAUAGCCACCACAGAGCUUCAAGCGUUCAACUACUAAACAAAAGUCUGGUGGUUCAAAUACACCCAGAGACACCUCAGGAGUAAGAUCUGGAGAUCUGCUUCCAAGAGGUCACGGCCUUGAAAACCCCUAUAAGAAAAACCCAAACCAAACCAAACCCAUUGCCACGGAGUUGGUUCCAACUGAAGGCAACCCUAUAGGGCAGAGUAGAGCUGCCCCACUGAGUUUCCAAGGAGCACCUGGUGGAGCUGGGCUGUCGACCUUUUGAUUAGCAGCCAUAAUACUUAAUCACUGUGCCACCAGGAAAACCCCUACGGAGCAGUUCUGUUCUGCCAACGCACAGAGUCACCGCGAGUCGGAAUCCACCCUACGGCAACCAACAACAACCACACGACCCACAGUCGCCGCUCUGGGUCAGGUUCUGGGGGCCCAGGCUCUGCCUCUGGCGUGGGGCAGACAGAUGUAGGCCAGACGCAAGCGUAAAGCGAGGCUGCAUCCCAGCCGGACCCUAGAGGACCAGUGGGACGGCGUUCAGCGAGGGAGGGCCCGUCAGCCUGAGAGACACAGCCCGAGCUACGGCCAGCGACUGACUGCGGGGGCCUGGGGUAGAUAUCCGGGCUCCCAAGUCCUUUCUCCGCCAUCAGAGUCUCAAACUGGCAGCCCUUAGGCCGCACUGCCCACCAUGUGCGUAGCCUGGCCUGCUCAGUGUUUUCACGUUUGUGAACGUCUUUGGGCAGCCACAGCCUCCCCUGCCCAGGCCUUCAGUCUCAUUCCCAGCCCGUCAGCUGGGAAUUCUGCAGCCUGCACCUGACAUACUGCUGGGCUUUGAAUGUCUGACUUCCCCAUCUGAAGCCCAGGCCACCUCCCAAGGCUGCCAUGAGGAUGACGGAAGGGCGAGGGUUUGGCACAAUGCCUGGCUCAGAGUGAGCGCACGACAGCAGGGGACUGUUGGGGGCCGGGGGGACACUGUGUGUGUGUCCAGGGGCCUGUGGAAGGGAGGGGCUGCAGAGGGAGGCCUGGGCCAGGUGGCCAGGGUCUCAAAUGCCAUUCUGAGCAGCUCAGACUUCAUACAAACAGGCUCAAUGGAGGGUUUCAUAGAGAGGCAGCUGGGAGCUCGGAGGUGGUAGAGGGAAAUUAAUGAAAUCAUCACUGCCAACGCCACCAUGGCACCCACCGAGGCUGGUACCAAGCCAGCCCUCACAACCCACCAAGGUCAGCAGCAGCCACGUCAUCUCCAUUUUACAGAAGAGCACACCGAGGCUCAGAGAGGGACAGCCAGCUGAGACCACGGUCAGUGUGCGGCAGAGGCAGGAUUUGAACCCAGGCCAGUGACUGCAGAGCCCACCUUCACCUCGCCCAAAACCCUGCUGCCAUCUCAAAGGGCUGGGAACCCCCACCUGUGCUCUGCCCACUAGGGGAACCAGCAGCCAUGGGAUGUGGCGGCUGCCCAAGGCCAGGGGGAUGGGAGGACGCUCGGAAGGGCUGUGUGAUGCAGCUGUCAUGGGCACUGCAGGCUCACGACGGACCCUAGGAGAGCUGGGAGCUGUGCACCGUGCCCCCAGCUAAAGCACUAGGCGGUCAUCGGUGGGUCCCAUAGCCCACCUCUCCUCCUAGGGUGGCCACUGUGUGCCUCUGGGGCCUUUGCCCUCAAGCCUUCAGAGGAGGGAAGGAGGGAGACGGAGUCGGCCAAGACAGUGCUGUGUAGCUGUGCUGUAACCGCCUCUCUUCACACACCUGGACCGUGAACAGUUCCCCAUAGUGCUGGUCUGCUAAAACCUGAUUUUAAUGCCUAGGAAGUUCUGUCUUUGCUGAGGGCCUCCUGUGUGCCAGGCCCUGUGCCGCCAGCCCUGCCCGUGGCAACCGCCUCUGGGUGUGCUGCAAGGGAUUUAAACCACCCCCUCGUGUGGGCAGUCGGGCAUUCCCAGGGUUUCAUUCAUCCUGAUGCCCCCCUUCCUGUCCCUGUGCAUUUUCCACCGGCAGCCUGAGGGUCCUGUUAAAACCCAGCUUGCAUCUGGUCCCUGCAACACAGAGUAAAAGGCUUGGUGCUCAGAGUGGCCCCCAAGGCCCCAGAGGGUGUGCACUGCACCACCCCCCGCCCCACCUGUCUUCUGCCACUCUGCCAGGACCGCUAACAACACAAACCCCAAUUGCUUCUCCGGAUGCACACACACACCCCCGCCCCAGCCUUCGCACUUGCUGUUCCCUCCUCCUAGACCGGUCCUUCAUCAGUAUCCACAUGGCUGACGCCUCCCCUCCUUCCCAUCUUUACUCUAAAUCCACUUUCCCUGACUCUGUGUCCCAGCUAGUUGCCCCUCCUCCUGUCACUCUCAGCCCCCCAACCCUGCCAUUCCCACUACUGUGUUGUUGGUGGUUGCAGUCAAGCCGGUUCUGACUCAUGGUAACCCCACGAGCAAGAUGGCCCUGGUUCUGCACCAUCUUCAACAUCGUUGUUGCGGCCACUGUGUAUUUUGAGUGCCUUCCAACCUAGGGGGCUCAUCUUCCAGAACUAUAUCAGACAAUAUUCUGUUGUGACCCAUAGGGUUCUCAAUGGCUAAUCUUCAGAAGUAUAUCACCAGGCCUUUCUUCCUAGUCUUAGUCUGGAAGCUCCACUGAAACCUGUCAACCAUGAGUGACCCUGCUGGUAUUUGAAAUGCCAGUGGCAUCGCUUCCAGUGUCACAGCAACACCCAAGCCACCACCGUAUGACAGACUGACAGACGAGCGAUGGCCAGUUACUGUGGCUGCAUUAAUAAACUGCCCCAAAACUUAGUGGCACGAAACAACUAUUAUGCUCAGGAAUUUGGAGACAGAAAAGUAGGGAGGGAUUCUCUCUGUUCCAUGAUGUUGAGGGUGGGGAGGUGAGCUGGAAGGCUGGGGGCUGGGAGCUUCUGAAGGUUUGUUCUUCUCACACCCGAUGGAUGAUGCUGGCAGUGGGCUGAGACCUUAGCUGGGCCGCACAUGGCCUCUCCACAUAACUUGGGCUUCUUCAAAACAUGGCGGCUGGGUUUCAAGGAUGGACCUCUAGAGAUAGCUCUCUAAGGGGACGCCAUAUUGCCUUUUACAAUCUAGCCAUGAGCGUCACAGUGUUAAUUCUGCUACAUUCUCUUCAUUACGAUUGAGUUGCUGAGUGGGCAGAAAAUUAGAAAGCACAAUUUGGAGGAGGAGUGCCAGAUAAUUUGUGAGCGUGUUUUAAAGUGACCACACCUGCUUUAUCCUUGUUUGUGGCACUUGUCAUGGUCUGACACAUUAUGUAUUUGUUUAUUGCCUCACCCUACUAGAAUGCCAAGGAGCCCUGGUGCCACAGUGGUUAAAGCACUUGGCUACUAACUGAAAGGUCAGUGGUUCGAACCCAGCAGCUGCUCCACAGGAGAAAGACGUGGAUUCUCUGCUUCUGUAAAGAUUACAGCCUUGGAAACCCUAAGGGGCAGUUCUGUUCUGUCCUGUAGGGUCGCUGUGAGUUGGAAUUGACUCAAUGGCACAGAACUAGAAUGUCAGCACCAUGUGGGCAGGGACUCUUGUUGGUUUUGGUUGCUGCCAUAUCUCCAAUGCCCAGCACUGUGCCUGCAAACAGGAGGGACUCAGUAAACACUGGGUGGAUAUAGGGCUGGAUGGAGGCUUCCAGAAGGCAGCUCUCCAUGGGGUCCUCCCAGGACUGACCAUCCCAUGUGUCAUGACCAGCAGUGAACAGGGGCUCCCAAGCAAGACAGCCUAUCUGGCCAUGGCCUCUUGCUCAUUCGCCCCGAUGCUCUUCAGCACCCACCACAUGUCCUGUUGGCUGUGGGAUGCAGCAGUGGACAAUUCGGGUCCUGGAGCCCAGGCUGGUGGGGGAGCAGGACGAGCCAUGGCAGUCAGAAUAUGCUGCGGAGUACGCGGUGAUGGGGGAGUCCAAGCCCUGAUGGAAACCCAGUGAUGGGGGAGCCCAGGCCCCGAUGGAACCCAGUGAUGGGGGAGCCCAGGCGCCAACAGAAACCCGGUGAUGGGGGACCCCAGGCGAUGGAAACCCAGUGAUGGGGGCGUCCAGGCCCUGAUGGAAACCCCUUGAUGGGAGAGUCCAGGCCCCGAUGGAAACUCAAGUGGGGAUCCCUUACCCAGCCAGGAGACAGGGAAGGUUUCUGGGAGGCAGUGGCAUUGCAGCUGGGCGCUGGGGCUCCCCAAAGGGCCAUCUGGCCCCCUCACACCCCAUUUUCAGUCCGUGAGUACUGUCCCCCAUCCCUGCCACUUGCUGGGGCUGGGGGACGGGUCUGCCAAGAAGCCACCCAAACAGCUGGCCCAUCCUGGUUCCUCCAAGUGGGAAAUGCUCAGGGGAGCCUUGCUCUGUGUUGUUACCUUGUCAAAAUGCAACUGUGCAAUUGUACCAAGUGGUAGUGGCUCCAGGGGAGGUAGUGGCACAUUUACCUAGCUGUGGUGGGGGCCCUGCCUGGCGUAAGUAGAGGUUGGCUGGGUCUGCAGGGAGCCUAGAGCCACCUCCACCCCACUCUGGUGAAAAGGCUGGGUCUGAAGCACCCUGGGGGUGGGCUCAGGAGAAAGUCCUUCGGGGAACAAGGUAUAAAGCAGGAGCUACAAACUCCAGGCUUACAGGGGCCAGAGGGGCGCCAUAAACCAGGCCAGGUCUGAGACUGGACUGUGGUGAGCCAGAGGGUCCAUGCUCCACUUGGAGGCAGUCACAUCCCAAAAGCUGUAGAGUGCUGAGCAGGCCCCAUCCAACCCAUGGCUCCAGGCACCACUCGCUCAGGGCUGCCAGGUGACAACAUCUGGGAGCAAAGCAAGAGCUGAGGGCAGGAGAGCUGCCUGGCCCUGUGGCCUCUGAUGGGCCAUGCCACCUCCUCUCUGAGCCUCCUGCCUGACUUUAUGGUCCUUCCUGGGAUUUUCCUCCACAAUCAACACCCACGGAAGCAGCAGUCAGGAAAUCAAAAGGCACACUGCAUUGGGCAAAUCAGCUGUAAGAGAGCUCUUUAAAGUGUUAAAAAGCCAAGAUGUUACCCUGAGGACUAAGUUGUGCCCUGAUCCAAGCAAUUGUGUUUUCAAUCACCUCAUAUGCAUGCAACAGCUGGACAAUGAAUAAGGAAGACCAAAGAAGAAUUGACACCUCUGAGUUGUGGUGUUGGUGAAGAAUAUUGAAUAUACCAUGGACCACCAAAAGAAGGAACAAAUCUGUCUUGGGAGAAGUACAACCAGGAUGCUCCUUAGAAGCAAGGAUGGGGAGACUGCAUCUCACAUACUUCAGACAUGUUGUCAGGAGGGGUCAGUUCCUGGAGAAGGACAUCAUGCUUGGUAAAGUACAGGGUCAUCAGGGAAAGAGGAAGACACUCAACGAGACAGACUGACACAGUGGCCAUAACAAUCGGCUCAAGCAUAGUAAUGAUUGUGAGGAUGGCACAGGACCGGGCAGUGUUUUGUUCUGUUGUGCGUAGAGUCGCUACGAGUCAGAACCGACUCAACAGCACCUAACAACGACAAUCAAUUGGAAGAGUCCCUGGGUGGUGCAAAUGGUUAACACACUCAGCUGCCAUCCAAAGGCUGGAGGUUCAAGUCCACCCAGAGGUGCCUUGAAAGAAAGAUUUGGCAGUCUACUUCCAAGGGAUCAGCCACUGAAAACUCUGUGAAGUUGUACUCUGACACACGUGGGAUCACCAUGAGUUGGAAUCAGCUUGCCAGCAACUGGUUUUUAAUUCUAAGGAAAAAGAGGGAGAGCUUCAGGAGUCUCCUGGCUUCAGCUGAGUCCUGCCUUGGGUGGGUUAAGAUAAAUUGGGAGGCAGAUGGACAGGGUCCACAUCCCAGCUCUGCCCCUUGCUGGUUGUGUGACCACAGGAAGCUCUUCACCUGUAAGAUGGGGACCUGUAUCAGUUAUUUCUUGCUGUGUAACUUAGUGGCUCCAUAACUUAGUGGCUUAAAACAUCAACAGUCAUUUAUUCUCGCUCCUGGUUUCUGUGUGUCAGGAAUUUGGGAGUGGCUCAGCUGGGUAGUUCUGUUCCAUGUCUCUCAUGAGGCUGCAGUCAGGAUGUUGGCCAGGGAGGGCUGCACUCAUCUGAAAGCUUGACUGGGAAUGGAGGAUCCACUUCCAGGAAGGCUCACAUAGCUACUAGCUAGAGACCUCAGUUCUUCACUGGCUGCUUGUAGGAGGCCUCAGUUCCUCCCACAUGGGCCUCUCCCUGGGCUGCUUGAGUAUCCUCACAACAUGGCGGCUGCUUCCCCAGAGGGAGCAAUCCAAGAGUGAGCGAGGAGGGCACCACAGUAUCUUUUAUGACCUAGCUGCAGAAGUCACACACUGUCACUUCCAGAAUACUGGUUACACAGGCCAGCCCUAUUCAUUGUGGGAGGGGGCUAACAAAGGUGUGAAAACCAGAAGGCAACGAUCAUCAUGAGGAAAGGUGGUCGACAUCUUGGAGGCUGGCUACCAAAUGCUAUCAUCUAUCUGGGGAGCCCACCAUUACCACUCACCUCUCAGAGGUGUUAGAUGCUCCAAACGAGAGGCGUCAAGAAAGGCAGCGGGCACAGAGCCUGGUUCAUACUAAGCACUCAGCAAUGGCGGCCUCUACGACACCACCAUUGGCUCCAACAAAAGCAGAGGGACCAGUCACCCUCACUGAGGCCUGCUCACCAGACGGGGCGAAGAGGGGCCCCUUCUUUCAAUGAACAGGGACUAAGAAGAGGCAUCCCUCUUUCUUUUCCUUAAGAUUUUAAACACCUAAUUUAUUCCAUCCAUUAGAUAGAUUUUGUAGAUUUAAUCAUUUUCACAGUUGGUGGCUCAUUGGAUAUUCAAGAUAAACUCCAAAUGAAAGUAUAAUGGUGAGGACAAAUGAGUUUUCACACCACAAUGGCAGAAACUUGCUUGGGAAGAGAGUUUAAGAGGAACGAAAAUACAUACAGAUACAAUUUUUUUUUCCCCUGGCAGCCGCCGCUUUUGCUGACUAUAGUAGGUUACCACAGUUAAUUUCACCAGUUUUGUUCAUCUGUAAAAUUGCAUAAAAGUGACAUUUUUGUGCUCAUUAUAGCAACUGCUGAUUUACGGCUGGUAAAUGAAGAGCCGGGCCCUUUUUUGUGGGACUCUCCGAGCGGUGCUAAGUGCCCAUGAAAUUGCUUGUAUAAUGUAGUUUAAAUCCAAUCUCGGAGAAAGAUUCCCCCGUUGGCUAAAGUGACAUUUCCAUUCUCCACACCGAGUUUAUUUUAGGCCGCUAAGGAGGGGGUUGCCCCAGGAUGGGGGCCUGGGGUCAGCUCCACCUGCCCAGCCCAGGUGGGGACAGAGGGACACUGCCCCAGCCCCCCCUCCCUCCCCCACCGGGGCGCUUGGCUGGGCUGCUCAGUUCAUCCCUCCCUGAGCCCAGGCAGGCUGGAUCCCUCUCCUCGGGGCAGCCAGAAUGAUCUUUCUAAACUGCAGGCCUGUCUGCCCUGGCCCUCCCCUGCUUAAAACCUUUCGUGGCUGUGCGACACCCCAGGGCAGAGUUCUCUACCUGGGCACUGCUGACAUUUAGGGCAGACAGUCCUUUGUGAGGACUCUCUGAGUGGACACAAAUGGUUACGCACUUGACAACUAGCCAAAAGGUUGGCAGUUUGAACCCUGAGACACCUCAGAAGACAGGCCUGGUAAUCUGCUUCCAAAGGUCACGGCCUUGAAAACCCUAUGGGGCAGUUCUACUCUGACACAUGGGUCACUUUGAGUCAGAAUCGACUGGACGGCAACUAACAGCGCAACAAUCCUUUGCGUGGGGGGACCAGCAUCCCUGGUCUCUACCCACUCGAUCCCAGUAGCAUCCCUACCCUUAGUUAUGACAACCGAACGUGUCUCCAGACAUUGCCUGGUGUCCCCUGGGGGCAGAACCACCCCUGACUGACCUUAGGUGAAGCCAAGCCCCUCGCACGGCUCACUCCUGCCCCCUGAGCCGCCCUCGCCCUCUGCCCUCUGCACACCUGCUCCUAGCCUCCUGCUAGCUCUGAGGUAUUGCCCCUUCCCACCCGGGCCUGCUUCCUCGCCCCUGCGCCUUUACCGUGUGCCCUUUUCUCUUCCUGAAAUAUGCCUGUCUCCUCCCUCGCCCUUAUGCUACAGCCCCAGGACUUCACGUGGAGGCUGUUUCUUCCAGAAAGCUGUCUCGGUAGCCCGGGCUGGGAUAGACUCUCCCGGGUUCCGUGCUGACCCUGCUGCCCCAUCGCAGUAUGAAUUUGCUCUGAUUGGCUGCUGGAUCCUGGUGCGGGGGUUCUGGGGUGAGGCUCUGAGAUGAGGGGACGUGGCUGUGUGGCUUCUGCCUAGUAGGGAGAUCAGAGAAGGUAAGGGGUCUGCAUUUGACUCCCAGCAGAACACCAGACCCACCUGUGCCCAUUGGAGGGGCCACCUGAGUCCUCUGUCCCUUCUCUCCCAGGAAGGCUCUUGCCCAGGAGGGCGUGAACACUCACACAGAGCACCUGCUCCUGCUAGCCUGCCCCACCAUCAUGACUUAGCAGGUCCUCACAGCCACCCUGGACCCUGGAAGGUAGUGUGAGCAGCAGCAGUAUUCCCAUUUUACAGAUGAGGAAACUGAGCCUCAGAGUGAAGCCACUUUCCCAAGGUCCCCCCCAGGAGUCACUAGACUCAGAUGAGCUAAUGUGCCCAGGACCACAAAAAGAAAAAAAAAAAGCAGUUGCCAUCAAGUCAAUUCCAACUUAUGGUGACCGCAUGUGUGUCAGAGUAGAACCGUACUCCACAGGGUGUUCAUUGGCUUAUUUUCAGAAGCAGAUCACCAGGCCUUUCUCCUGAGGAGCCUCCAGGUGGACUUGAACCACCCUUUCGGUUAACUGUUCCACCCAAGGACUCUGCCCAGGGCCACACAGCCCCACAACCUGUACUCAAUCCAGGCCUGGCCAGCUCCAAAGCCCCCCUCCCGUCCACCCCAAAGGGCCCUGGGAGGCACUGGUCUGAGGACCAGAGGAGGUUCUGGAUGGGAGCAACGGUCUGCCUGUCAGUGACCCACCUGCCCUGUGGCAGGGCCCAGUUAUGCCCACUAACAGUGGGGACAGUCAGCCUGUCACACAGAUUACACCCUUCAGCUCUCUGCUGACAGCUCACACACACACACAAAAAAAGGCAGUGGCAGCCACACUGGCCCUGCAGCUGACAGGCAGACUCUGGGGGGAGGUGGG